rnacentral:rRNA from 1 species
GAGGGAGGGUGCAAGCGUUGUUCGGAAUCACUGGGCGUAAAGCGCGUGUAGGCGGUCCGAUAAGUCGAGUGUGAAAGCCCGGGGCUCAACCUCGGAAGUGCACUCGAAACUGCUGGGCUUGAGUACGGGAGAGGGAAGCGGAAUUCCUGGUGUAGAGGUGAAAUUCGUAGAUAUCAGGAGGAACACCGGUGGCGAAGGCGGCUUCCUGGACCGAUACUGACGCUGAGACGCGAAAGCGUGGGGAGCAAACAGG